rnacentral:rRNA from 1 species
UACGUAGGGGGCAAGCGUUGUCCGGAAUCAUUGGGCGUAAAGAGCGUGUAGGCGGCCAGAUAAGUCCGCUGUGAAAUCUCGAGGCUCAACUUCGAGCUGUCGGUGGAAACUGUCUGGCUAGAGUCCGGAAGAGGAGAGUGGAAUUCCUGGUGUAGCGGUGAAAUGCGCAGAUAUCAGGAAGAACACCAAUGGCGAAAGCAGCUCUCUGGGACGGUACUGACGCUGAGACGCGAAAGCGUGGGGAGCGAACAGG